rnacentral:rRNA from 1 species
UGGGGAAUCUUGGACAAUGGGGGCAACCCUGAUCCAGCGAUGCCGCGUGGGUGAAGAAGGCCUUCGGGUUGUAAAGCCCUUUAGGUCGGGACGAAGGUGUUUGGGGGAUAAUCCCAGGCAUUUGACGGUACCGACAGAAUAAGCACCGGCAAACUCUGUGCCAGCAGCCGCGGUAAUACAGAGGGUGCGAGCGUUAAUCGGAUUUACUGGGCGUAAAGGGCGCGUAGGCGGUUUCAUAGGUGUGAUGUGAAAGCCCUGGGCUUAACCUAGGAAGUGCAUCGCAAACUAUUGAACUGGAGUAGAUGAGAGGGUGGCGGAAUUUCCGGUGUAGCGGUGAAAUGCGUAGAGAUCGGAAGGAACGUCAAUGGCGAAGGCAGCCACCUGGCAUCAUACUGACGCUGAGGCGCGAAAGCGUGGGGAGCGAACA